rnacentral:rRNA from 2 species
UCUUCCGCAAUGGACGAAAGUCUGACGGAGCAACGCCGCGUGAGUGAUGAAGGUUUUCGGAUCGUAAAGCUCUGUUGUUAGGGAAGAACAAGUGCAAGAGUAACUGCUUGCACCUUGACGGUACCUAACCAGAAAGCCACGGCUAACUACGUGCCAGCAGCCGCGGUAAUACGUAGGUGGCAAGCGUUGUCCGGAAUUAUUGGGCGUAAAGGGCUCGCAGGCGGUUUCUUAAGUCUGAUGUGAAAGCCCCCGGCUCAACCGGGGAGGGUCAUUGGAAACUGGGAAACUUGAGUGCAGAAGAGGAGAGUGGAAUUCCACGUGUAGCGGUGAAAUGCGUAGAGAUGUGGAGGAACACCAGUGGCGAAGGCGACUCUCUGGUCUGUAACUGACGCUGAGGAGCGAAAGCGUGGGGAGCGAACAGGAUUAGAUACCCUGGUAGUCCACGCCGUAAACGAUGAGUGCUAAGUGUUAGGGGGUUUCCGCCCCUUAGUGCUGCAGCUAACGCAUUAAGCACUCCGCCUGGGGAGUACGGUCGCAAGACUGAAACUCAAAGGAAUUGACGGGGGCCCGCACAAGCGGUGGAGCAUGUGGUUUAAUUCGAAGCAACGCGAAGAACCUUACCAGGUCUUGACAUCCUCUGACAACCCUAGAGAUAGGGCUUUCCCUUCGGGGACAGAGUG